rnacentral:rRNA from 1 species
AGUGAACGCUGGCGGUAGGCCUAACACAUGCAAGUCGAACGGCAGCACAGUAAGAGCUUGCUCUUACGGGUGGCGAGUGGCGGACGGGUGAGGAAUACAUCGGAAUCUACUUUUUCGUGGGGGAUAACGUAGGUAAACUUACGCUAAUACCGCAUACGCCCUACGGGUGAAAGCAGGGGAUCUUCGGACCUUGCGCGAUUGAAUGAGCCGAUGUCGGAUUCGCUAGUUGGCGGGUGAAAGGCCCACCAAGGCGAGGAUCCGUAGCUGGUCUGAGAGGAUGAUAAGCCACCCUGGAACUUGGCCACGCUCCAGACUCCUACGGGAGGCCGCAGUCGGGUAUAUUGGACAAUGGGCGCAAGCCUGAUCCAGCCAUCCCGCGUGGGUGAAGAAGGCCUUCGGGUUGUAAAGCCCUUUUGUUGGGAAAGAAAAGCAGCAGGUUAAUACCACGCUGUUCUGACGGUACCCAAAGAAUAAGCACCGGCUAACUUCGUG